rnacentral:tRNA from 1 species
GGAACGUAUCACCGGUAAAGAGUGUUGCCCUCUCGAGGCAAUGACCAGGGUUCGAAUCCCUGUCGGAGCA